GAUGAAGAACGUAGCGAAAUGCGAUAAGUAAUGUGAAUUGCAGAAUUCAGUGAAUCAUCGAAUCUUUGAACGCACCUUGCACCCUUUGGCUAUUCCGAAGGGUAUGCCUGUUUGAGUAUCAUGAACACCUCAACUCUCAUGGUUUGCCAUGAUGAGCUUGGACUUUGGGGGUCUUGCUGGCCUGUGGUCAGCUCCUCUCAAAUGGAUUAGCUUGCCAGUGUUUGGUGGCAUCACAGGUGUGAUAACUAUCUACGCUUGUGGUUUUCCACCAGGUAACCUUCAGCGAUGGGGGUUCGCUGGGGCUCAUAAAUGUCUCUCCUCAGUGAGGACAGCUCUUUGAACGUUUGAUCUCAAAUCAGGUAGGACUACCCGCUGAACUUAAGCAUAUCAAUAAGCGGAGGA
rnacentral:misc_RNA from 1 species